rnacentral:misc_RNA from 1 species
GGAAGUAAAAGUCUAACAAGGUCUCCGUUGGUGAACCAGCGGAGGGAUCAUUACCGAGUUAUCAACUCCCAAACCCCUGUGAACAUACCCAACGUUGCUUCGGCGGGACCGCCCCGGCGCCCUCGGCGUCCCGGAACCAGGCGCCCGCCGGAGGACCCAAACUCUUGUUUAAACCAUAGUGGCAUAUUCUGAGUCUCACAAGAAAAAUGAAUCAAAACUUUCAACAACGGAUCUCUUGGCUCUG